CACGUAGGGGGCAAGCGUUGUCCGGAUUUAUUGGGCGUAAAGAGCUCGUAGGCGGUUCGGUAAGUCGGGUGUGAAACCUCCAGGCUCAACCUGGAGACGCCACCCGAUACUGCUGUGACUAGAGUCCGGUAGGGGAGCGUGGAAUUCCUGGUGUAGCGGUGAAAUGCGCAGAUAUCAGGAGGAACACCAGCGGCGAAGGCGGCGCUCUGGGCUGGAACUGACGCUGAGGAGCGAAAGCUAGGGGAGCGAACAGG
rnacentral:rRNA from 1 species